rnacentral:rRNA from 1 species
CUGCCUGGUAGUGGGGGAUAACGUUCGGAAACGGACGCUAAUACCGCAUACGUCCUACGGGAGAAAGCAGGGGACCUUCGGGCCUUGCGCUAUCAGAUGAGCCUAGGUCGGAUUAGCUAGUUGGUGGGGUAAUGGCUCACCAAGGCUACGAUCCGUAACUGGUCUGAGAGGAUGAUCAGUCACACUGGAACUGAGACACGGUCCAGACUCCUACGGGAGGCAGCAGUGGGGAAUAUUGGACAAUGGGCGAAAGCCUGAUCCAGCCAUGCCGCGUGUGUGAAGAAGGUCUUCGGAUUGUAAAGCACUUUAAGUUGGGAGGAAGGGUUGUAGAUUAAUACUCUGCAAUUUUGACGUUACCGACAGAAUAAGCACCGGCUAACUCUGUGCCAGCAGCCGCGGUAAUACAGAGGGUGCAAGCGUUAAUCGGAAUUACUGGGCGUAAAGCGCGCGUAGGUGGUUUUGUUAAAGUUUGGAUGUGAAAAUC